rnacentral:rRNA from 1 species
GUCUACGUCCAUGCCACCUUGAAUGUGCCCGAUCUUGUCUGAUCUUGGAAACGAAGCAGGGUCGGGCCUGGUUAGUACUUGGAUGGGAGACUACCUAGGAAUACCAGGUGCUGUAGGCA